rnacentral:rRNA from 1 species
GAUGAACGCUGGCGGCGUGCCUAAUACAUGCAAGUCGAGCGAACGGACGAGAAGCUUGCUUCUCUGAUGUUAGCGGCGGACGGGUGAGUAACACGUGGAUAACCUACCUAUAAGACUGGGAUAACUUCGGGAAACCGGAGCUAAUACCGGAUAAUAUUUUGAACCGCAUGGUUCAAAAGUGAAAGACGGUCUAGCUGUCACUUAUAGAUGGAUCCGCGCUGCAUUAGCUAGUUGGUAAGGUAACGGCUUACCAAGGCAACGAUGCAUAGCCGACCUGAGAGGGUGAUCGGCCACACUGGAACUGAGACACGGUCCAGACUCCUACGGGAGGCAGCAGUAGGGAAUCUUCCGCAAAGGGCGAAAGCCUGACGGAGCAACGCCGCGUGAGUGAUGAAGGUCUUCGGAUCGUAAAACUCUGUUAUUAGGGAAGAACAUAUGUGUAAGUAACUGUGCACAUCUUGACGGUACCUAAUCAGAAAGCCACGGCUAACUACGUG